UAAUACUAUUUUCCACCGACAUACAUCUCCACCCGCCAUAUGUUUUAUUCAUAUGGUUCUCUAACCUUCACAUAAUGUAAUUUGGCUGCUGGUUUAAGCCGCACCCUUAACAAGGUCUGAAAAAACAGAAAAGAAAAAAAAAAUCACGUCAAUUGGUCUCCACUCGCAGUCGUCACUCGUCAUCGUCCCACCUCCUCCUUGUCUUCUCCGGGCAGCAGACGUAUAUAAACACACUGAUCCAUCUUCCUCGAGCUUACCCAGUAACAUCACGAUAACCAUUACGUGGCGCUCAGAUGGGAGGGCGCACAGGCUCCGAUUGUGGCCGAUUUCAAUAGAAAAGCCAACAGUGAAAGAGGUGCAGCCUCGGCUACUCAUCCAGAACACGCUGCACGAAUGUUAUGUCGGCAUCACCUGUUGUUCCCGUCGAUGAACGGCAGAAGCAGGGGAUUUGGAUGUGACCAAAAAAAAAGAGUCGAAGGUGCUGGUGGUGCUGAGUGGAAGACUAGUGAUUUUGUUGUGACGCUGAUCAAAGAACAACAAGUCCCAGUCUGCCUCUCAGCACAAGCAGUGAACUUCAGUUUCACGUCAACGUGAACCUGCUCUUCAGCUCAGGAGCCGUUCACGUUUCAUUGUUGGCACUGUUGAUGAAAUUUCCUGUUUAUUCAGCAGGCAACAAUAUGAAGCCUGCCCUUUAAAAAUCACAUAAAAUGUUCUGAUUCACGCUCCGUGUGAAGGAGUUUCGCUGCACAGUAAUGUUAAUUACCAGCAGAAUUGCAAUCAAAAGCAUCAUUUAAGCGAGUGAAUCACACACUAUAAAAGCCACGUAGGGAAAUGCUGUAAUAACAAUGCUAUAAAGCCCUUUGUACAAGAAACAAAAAAAAAAGACUAAAAUUGCCCAGUAUUAUUUUUCUACGUCUAUUUUCGGGCUUGCUCAUUCUCAUUGUGCUUUGUUCAAACUGUUUAUUGAUCAUUAAUCUGUAGACAUGGGAAUAAAUGGGACUUCUUUUAUUUACACUGCAAAAUAAAACCUGUUUUUUUUAAAAA